UACGUAGGUGGCAAGCGUUGUCCGGAUUUACUGGGCGUAAAGAGCGCGCAGGCGGUCGUUCAAGUCGCGUGUGAAAGCCCCCCGGCUCAACUGGGGGAGGGUCACGCGAUACUGAUCGACUCGAAGGCAGGAGAGGGUAGUGGGAAAUUCCCCGGUGUAGUGGUGAAAUGCGUAGAUAUCGGGGAGGAACACCAGUGGCGAAGGC
rnacentral:rRNA from 1 species